rnacentral:piRNA from 1 species
UAAGCUCUGUAUAGAGGGCCUGGUAGGUA